rnacentral:rRNA from 1 species
AGCUCCAAUAAGGAAAACUAAAGUUGCUGUGUUUAAAAAGCUCGUAGUUGAAUUUCGGGUAUUUGUUGCUGGUUGGUCUCGCGACCUUUUUGGCUAACAGAUCCUCACUUGCUGGACAGUUGGCGAUGAUCUUAAACGGUUGUCGUCAGUUGCCAGAACGUUUACUUUGAGAAAAUUAGAGUGCUAAAAGCAGGCCUUCGCCUAUAUAUAUUGCAUGGAAUAAUGAAAUAAGAUCUCGAUUUUAUUUCGUUGGUUUUAGAAAUUGAGAUAAUGAUUAAUAGGAUCAGAGGGGGGCGUACGUACUGUGGUGUGAGAGGUGAAAUUCUUGGAUCGCCACAGGACGAACAGCAGCGAAGGCGUUCGCCAAGAAUGUUUUCA